rnacentral:lncRNA from 1 species
UCGCAACCAUGAACGAAGCAAUCAUGGAAGACCAUUCUGAGCAGUCCGGGGGCAACAGUGGAAUCGGAGUUAACAUGUUUCUUAACGGUGGCUUGAACGAUGGAUUCCGCUCUGGGACAAGAGGUGGAAUAGAAGCCGACCCUAGUCUGAGCUAGAGCUAAGGGUGUGGCGACUAGAAGAACAAAUAGAAUAGAGAGUUUGCUAAGGAAAGAAUCCAUUUGAGUUUGUUAUGUGUUGUUAUAAAUUGAUUGUGUGUUUAGAGGAAACGAAGGUGGUGUAUUUAUAGGGACAUAAAAGUGCUAAAAUGGGCUAAACGUGUGGAGACCAGAGAGAACCAGGGUCAAUGAAAAAUACGUGGCAACGGAUUGGAAAAGUUGUCCACUGGUGAGUUGUAGUCCACUCUCGGGCUGCCCAAGUUGUUUGAUUCGUUGAUUGAUAGAAGAGUCAAAUGAAUGUUCAUACAUGCGGUUGCAUAGUUUAAGUUCAAUUUAUGUCAGAUUUUCUCAGACACGUACUCAGUGGAUUAAUAUUUUGGCAUUUACCUCAUAUAUACAUAAAAGUUUGCUCAGAAACUAAUUCCUUCUUGUAAAUUAUAGAGUAAUAAUUAUUGAUUAGAUAUUCAAAAUUCCAACAAUUAUGGACUUACUCGAAAUUCAUUUUACGGUCUUAAAUCAUCGUACAUGCAGUAUUCUAAAAAUCCCCGAUUUAACCGAUAAAUCCCCUGCAAGGUCGGCCACCGAUUCGAUUUUUUAAAUCCGAUUAAUCCUUAUAUAUAUUCCUUAAUCGAAGUAUAUAUGAUAAAUUAUUAAAAUUAAAAUACUAUAUUACUUUAAGUAUGGUUUAUUAUAGAGUUUAUGAAUAUGGUAAAGAUAUUAGUUACUAAAUAGCUAAUAUAAUAAUAACUAAAUAUUAAAUAAUAUUUUAAUAUAAAAACAAAACCGAUUUUCACUCCGAUUAAUCCUUGCGAUUAAUCUCCGAUUUCCGAUUAAUCCCUGAAUCGGUAGCUCAACCGAUUAAGUCCGAUUCUCGAUUUCUGUAACACUGCAUACAUGUAUAAAUAAUAUCUCUAUCAUUUUUUUUUUAAUUUAUACUCAUUUUAUUCUAUUACAUCCACUCCAACUAAACACAACAUAAUUGUGUGUUUGUGUGUAAGCCUAAUAUUACAACUCUUGAAACAUAAUUUGAAAUUAGUUUUACAAAACUAUAUUUGAAAUGUUGUAAAUCAUUGUGCUUGCGGAAAAUGGUGAAGUGGGAACCGGAAAAGAAGCUUAAAUAAGUGUGAAACGCAUACGCAGGCGAAUACCUUGAUGUUACGUUCUAUCAAGGAAACUAAAGUAAUGGCGAAGCUGUUGCAAACUUAAUUUUGUGUGGAGUAUUAGUACUCCAAAUGGAUAGCGUAAACAUGUUUUCUAUUACAAAGUUGUUAGGGUGUCAAAUACUCCGCUAACACUGACAUGCAUGCAUUCCAUGAUUAAAAAACUAAAAAUUACUAAAAGAGAAGGUGGAAACUAUUGACUCGGGGUUCAGCAAAAGUUUUCAAAAGAGUCAAAGCAAUGCGUGUGGGGUCGCGAAUAACUUACUCUGCAUUAUCAUGAAACUUCCUGCACUAGUAUUUAACUAUUCUUUGUCAAGCCUUCUACUUUACUCCCUCAAUUUGUUUUAUUUAACAUUUUAAUUUUUCACACGUAUUUUCUGGUGAAGUGAUCUGAUAAUAUAAUUAUUUUUAUUAUAUUUUUGCCAAUUAUGAUAUUGAUUAUAUAUUUUUAUUCUGAAAAUUAAAAUUUUGAAUUAUUUUUAGUUAUCUAGUCAGAAUAUUUAAAAAUAUGUAUUAGAAACCAAACGUCGAAUAAAAUAAUAAGAUCGAGCUAUAUGUCUAUCAGGGAGGCAAAAACCGCAUGCUGUAUAUGACUGUUCUCAAAAUCUACGUGCCGUGAUAAUCAAAUAGCGGUUUCGUAAAAGAGUGUGAGAAUAAAUUAAAGAGUUUAAGAAGUAAUUAUUCCAGUUAGUUUUCGAUACCUCUUGUGCAAAAAUACAAAUUUUUGCAUAAAACACAGAACUCCUCAUAUUUAAUUUAGAUGGAAUUAAAACACAAAAUAUAUUGUCUUUAAAUGAUUCUACUGAAUAUAUUUUUAAUCAUCGACAGAUUUUGGGAGGACAAAUUUCAAUCUGAACCCUGCAUCAUUCUUUUGAUCACAAAAGAUAUUAAUCAAAAACUUGUCUUCGUCUUCUCUGUUCAUAAGUCAGCUUUUACGCAACAGCUAUUUCAUUAAAGUUUUCUAAAGAUUAUUCAUGUUCGAUAGAAAAUUAUUGUCAGACAUUUUAAUUCACAAAUUAUAUUUCAAAAAUAUUACUAUUUCAUUUGAAAAUUUUAAAAUGUUAUAUAUAUAUUUCACCUUAAAUAUUUUAUUUGCUGAGUUUUGCAGGACAUCUUAUUCACGAUUACAUAUUUUUCUACUCCAUCACAUGGUUUUUUUGCUUACUUUUUAGUUAAACCAGUCAUUGUGUCCGACAGCAAAACCAACACGGACUAUAGGUAUCGAGGACGAUUUCUCUCUGAUGCUAUAGGUAUAUUAUUUGUGUGUAUGGUAGAAUGUAUAUCUAUUAUUUUUUUUUGUCACUUUAUAUGGCAAUUUUUCUUAGCUGUGAUAAUAGAUGAAAACAUGAGCUGAGUUGCUUUUGAGUUUUGACAUAUAAUGUUCAUGGAGAGUUUCAUGUUAAAUGCCUAAAAAAUGUUUACGGAGUAAGGCUGACAGACUAUAUGCACGUAGUAUGAAAAAGUAAGGGGCGACGGGCGUCAUCAGCUCACCUUCACUACAAUAAAAUCGGGUACUUACGACAGAAAUUCGUAUCUAAAAAACAGCGCCGUCCUUGGAUCCGGCACUUCUCCCUUAUUUUUCAUUUGAAAAAAUAUUUAUAAAAAACUUAUGACAUCGUACUCUAGUAUUAUAAUUAUUUGAUUUUUUCAAUUGAAAAAAUAUUAAAAUAUAUAAAAAGCUUACAACGGAUUCGUUUUUCGUCGUAACAAUUUAAGACGGAACUCUACUAAUCCAUAGUAACUUUAUACGCGUGGUCCCUCAUAAGUUAUCUGUUACUAUAACUUAUAAAUGACUUUAUUUGUUGUAGCGCUUGUCGUAUACCCCGGCCUGGUAUAAUUGGCCCCAUCUCCUUCAUUCUAUGCACCACCGUAUAUUUGACUGAACAGACACAUUGCAUCACCAGAUGCCCCACCAUUCAUGAAAUCCCAGUUUUAGUAGAAUAGCACUCAAAUAAGUGAAUAACUCCACUCAAUCUUGUCAUAGCCUUAGCCAUGUCCAACUUAAACGCCAUAAACCCCUCCUUUCCUGUUCUCUUUAGUUUGUGAUAGUGCAUGACUUCAUAACUUAUAAUUAGAAUAUCUAUCUAGGGUUAAAUUUGUAGUGAUAAAUUAAAAUUAAUUUUUUAAUUAAACCGAUCGAUCACAAAAUUAUAAUGUCUUUUCAUUAUAUUUUAUUUUAUAUCAAUUUUUCAGUAUUUGAAUAUCAAAUUCUUAAAAUCAAAAUUAUUUUAAUUUGUAUAUAUCGAUAUAUACAGAAAUCAAUGAUUACUGGGUUAGUCAUUGAUAUUAUAAGAUUAAAAAAAAAUAUCGUAUACUAUUGGGUUUAUUUCCAUCGCCAUUUUUAGGGCAAAGCGAUUGGAGUGUAGGAAGGAACGAGGGAUCGAUGGUAGGAUCAGCACCCCCGGAGUUUGUGAAGUUGUAUAAUCUGUAGCUCACGAAUUGGCAAGCCACUGUUCCAAUAGUGUGUCCUCCUGCAACACAUUUUUGUACUAUAUGGNUCCCUCGCUUACCUUUAAAUAUUUAUAGUGAUCAGAAUAAAAUCGCUCGAUCAAUAUAAAAUAGUUAUCCCUGUCUCAUCACUUGUAUACGUAUAAAAUAUAAUAAUUUCAUAAUAUAUUUCUAAAAUUUAAUAAAAAUUUGAUGUUUAAACUCAUCAAAAAUUAAAAAAAAAAUUAUUAUAAAACUGUAAUUUAUUGGAGUCUCUAAAUGUGUGCAAAUAGUGAAAGUAUACAUCAAAAUAGAGGGACGAAUAUAAUAGUUUGCACUCACAUUCCGUAAAUAAAUCGAGCAUGUACAAAUUACUCGUUUUCAUCCUAUUUAAAUGAAAUAGGAUGAAAACGAGUAAUUUGAUGUUCACUCUAAAUGAAAUGAGGAUGAUAAUUAAAUAAAAAUUACAAAAAUACUGAGAAAAAGAAAAAUAUUUAAAAUAAAAGUAAUUUAGUUUGAAUGAAUUAACUUUUAUGUGAUCAUGUUGGAAUAAUAGUACAAGAAGUAAAAUUUUAAUUAUAAGUACAUGAUUAGAUCUCUAACUAAAGAUAAUCUGAACUAAAAUGAUAAAAGAAAUGGAAAUUAUAAAUAUGGCCCAGCAAGCAAAGUAUAAAUUGUAUUUCAUUAAGUGACCAUUCCUAAUAUAAAAAUAUAUAUAUAUUGUACAUGAAAAACAUCUGUUUCUUAGUUCUUGAAGACGCUUUAUACUCUUUAUAUAUAACUCAAACAAUACGUGUUUGUUUGUAAAUGAACUUUCUUUGCUGUUCGUGGAAGCUUUUACAACUGCAGGCUUAUUUUGCAUCCGCCUACUCAAGUUUUCAUAACUCUAGAACUGGAAUAUCAAAGUUCGACUCUAAUUAACUCUUGAACAGACCUUUCGAAUUUCCCCGGCCGUCCCAGUGUUCACCCCAAUAUUCGUCAUUUUAAUCAUAGAUUUUCCGAAUUCGACGUUCAAAGUCAAUCCAGCCAAGCCUCUGAUACCCAUAAAUCUCUGCGCAAAGUUCCUCGUUGUACUGUCCUGCCACAAGCUCUGAUCUGACUCCAGAAUUCCCCGUCCAUCUCGAACAUUUUUGAAGAAAGAACGAUCAAAAUUGUUACCGCUCCCGUAGUCCAAAGCGAUACGUUUAUUUCCAUCGCCAUUUUUAGGGCAAAGCGAUUGGAGUGUAGGAAGGAACGAGGGAUCGAUGGUAGGAUCAGCACCCCCGGAGUUUGUGAAGUUGUAUAAUCUGUAGCUCACGAAUUGGCAAGCCACUGUUCCAAUAGUGUGUCCUCCUGCAACACAUUUUUGUACUAUAUGGUUUAGAAUGUUGCAUGCAUGCAGAUAGAAAAAUUUCGGAUGUCUGAUAAACGUAUGUAAUAUUGGCUUAUUGCUUACCAACAAGGGUAACAAGAUCUUGAGCGCUUAGACCAACAUCUGCAAAUUUUUUCUUCUGGACCGCGACUGAGUCUGUGAAACUCGGCAAAUUGGCGGUGUCGGACGCCAAUGACACUCGUCCGUCUCUCCGGCCAGUAGGCACGCGAUAAGUCAGUGCACCGACCUGCAUGUGAAAACAUAAGAACAAUGAGAUGCUGAUAUAACAAUGAUCCUACUUCGAAAUAGCAUAAAUUAUUUGAAUUUUUUGGUUAAAAUCAUAUAUAGCACAUUCGAAACAUUUAUCUUACUUCUACUGUGGCAUCACGAGCAGCAAGAGCAAGAAUAUCAGCACACGACACGACUCCGGGGCAUGCUGCCUCUAGCUGUGUUUUGGCAUCCUCAAUCACUUCAUAUCCUCUCAGCAGAAGAUUUGGCCUAGCGGUUUUCUCAGCAUUGCUGCCAUCGAUAAGAAUCGAAGCAUCGCAACCAUGAACGAAGCAAUCAUGGAAGACCAUUCUGAGCAGUCCGGGGGCAACAGUGGAAUCGGAGUUAACAUGUUUCUUAACGGUGGCUUGAACGAUGGAUUCCGCUCUGGGACAAGAGGUGGAAUAGAAGCCGACCCUAGUCUGAGCUAGAGCUAAGGGUGUGGCGACUAGAAGAACAAAUAGAAUAGAGAGUUUGCUAAGGAAAGAAUCCAUUUGAGUUUGUUAUGUGUUGUUAU